UAGACCUUUCCCGUUAAUCGAAAACAGCGGUCAUAAUGCGCGCGCAUGAAGUUAAGUUUGCUAGACUGAAAGAUCGUAGGUCCUAGCUUGUUGCAUGUGGCUUGUCAUCCGUAUUUGUCAAUUUUGUUUUGUUUUGGAGAUAAAGUUUGGUUAGAGUUUUCUUCGAACAUUAUUUCUUGGUUUUUAUAUUUGUUUUAUUAUUUUGCGUACGCUUUACGCAGUUUUAGUGCAUUUAAAAUGUGGACCAAUCACAUUUAAAAACCUCAUACUUUAUGUAUAGUUUUUAUGUCAAGUCCACAUUUAUGCAUACAAGAAUGUCAUUGUUCUUGUGAAGUUGGUUCAUCCCAGUCUUCCCAUCAUUUGCUGGGUUUAGAAUUUUAUUUGCAAGACAUUAUAUUAAGAGUAGAAUAUGAAACUCCCGAGCACAUUGCUUCAACAUCCCAAGAUAUGAUAUAGAAUAAGCCACGUGGGACAAAAGUAAUUCCUGAAGAUGCAAGGUAUCUCACAUUCCAAAAACCUACAAAUAUUUUGAGAAGGAAGGCCCCCGUUGUAACAAAAAUUGCUAUUCAUAGCACUUCUGCGAUGUCGAAUGAACAAGCAGAUGAUUUGCCCACAAAAUUACAGAAAUUAGAGAGAAGAGAACCUUUUUAAAAGAUUGAUAAGGGCAUACCUUUAUCUUUUUUUUAUUUCUACAGAGAAUACCAAUCCAGAAAUUACUAUUUUUGGUCAACAAAAUAGAGGAGGGAAAGAUAUUGCUAAUGAUGAUAUGCCAGUUAAUCUACCCAUAUUAAAUACUAUCACUAGAAAUAUUUUAAUUAGCUGCCUUUUG